GAGUUUGAUCCUGGCUCAGAAUCAACGCUGGCGGCGCGCUUAACACAUGCAAGUCGAACGAGAAAGGGGAGCAAUCCCUGAGUAAAGUGGCGUACGGGUGAGUAACACGUGGAUGAUCUACCCUCUAGUGGGGAAUAACCCAGGGAAACCGGGGCUAAUACCGCAUAAGCACGAGAGUGGAAAGCAGCAAUGCGCUGGAGGAGGAGUCCGCGGCCGAUUAGCUAGUUGGCAGGGUAAAAGCCUACCAAGGCAAAGAUCGGUAGCCGGCCUGAGAGGGCACACGGCCACACUGGCACUGAAACACGGGCCAGACUCCUACGGGAGGCAGCAGUGGGGAAUCUUGCACAAUGGGGGCAACCCUGAUGCAGCGACGCCGCGUGAGCGAUGAAGCCCUUCGGGGUGUAAAGCUCUUUCGGCAGGGAAGAUUAUGACGGUACCUGCAGAAGCAGCUGCGGCUAACUACGUGCCAGCAGCCGCGGUAAUACG
rnacentral:rRNA from 1 species